AGAGUUUGAUCAUGGCUCAGAAUCAACGCUGGCGGCGUGCCUAACACAUGCAAGUCGAACGAGAAAGUGGAGCAAUCCAUGAGUAAAGUGGCGCACGGGUGAGUAACACGUGACUAACCUACCCUCGAGUGGGGAAUAACCUAGGGAAACCUGGGCUAAUACCGCAUAAUACCUACGGGUUAAAGGAGCAAUUCGCUUGAGCGAGGGGGUCGCGGCCGAUUAGUUAGUUGGCGGGGUAAUGGCCCACCAAGACGAUGAUCGGUAUCCGGCCUGAGAGGGCGGACGGACACACUGGAACUGAAACACGGUCCAGACUCCUACGGGAGGCAGCAGUGGGGAAUUUUGCGCAAUGGGGGAAACCCUGACGCAGCAACGCCGCGUGGAGGAUGAAGUCCCUUGGGACGUAAACUCCUUUCGAUCGGGACGAUUAUGACGGUACCGGAAGAAGAAGCCCCGGCUAACUUCGUGCCAGCAGCCGCGGUAAUAC
rnacentral:rRNA from 1 species